UACGUAGGGUCCGAGCGUUGUCCGGAAUUAUUGGGCGUAAAGAGCUCGUAGGUGGUUUGUCGCGUUGUCCGUGAAAUUCCCUGGCUUAACUGGGGGCGUGCGGGCGAUACGGGCAGACUGGAGUACUGCAGGGGAGACUGGAAUUCCUGGUGUAGCGGUGGAAUGCGCAGAUAUCAGGAGGAACACCGGUGGCGAAGGCGGGUCUCUGG
rnacentral:rRNA from 1 species